GCGCCUGUAGCUCAAUUGGAUAGAGCGACAGACUACGGAUCUGUAGGUUGUGGGUUCAAAUCCCGCCAGGCGCACCA
rnacentral:tRNA from 2 species